CGGAGCCCGGGGGCAGGUCCUGGAGGAGGGGGCGGGGCUGGGUCGGCGCCCGGGUGCGUCCCCGCCCCUCCCCUCCGGGCCGUGUUUGGGCAGCCACGGGGCUGGCAACGUCUCCAGGGGAAAGGCUGUUGUUUCCCUGAGCGGCCUUGGCGCGCCCCGCGGGCUGCUGAGGUCCUUCGGAAGGUUGAGGGUAAACUUUUCAAGUCCAAGGCAGAGAUUUGGUUCUCUUAAGUUUCCCUGGGACACAAUGUGGGCUCUCAGUUUUCAGACUGAACUCCAGGUUCCUUGAAAUUCCUUUAGAAGAGUAUGUUAAGAGUGAUGCUAGCUGCUACAACAGAUAAGCUCCUGCUUCUCCAGGGUUGACAUUCCCAUCGCAGUCAUGGUCCCUGCCUUCCUCUCCACCAGCUGGCAGAUGGGAAAGAGAAUGAGAAAGGUUGUUAUGGGCCCAGCCUGGAAAUGCCACACAUCCCCUCUGCCCAUAUACCACUCUCUGGAACUCAGCCACGUGGCCACACCUGGCUGAUCAAGAAGCAGGACCACGUAGCUCACCUCUGUGACCAGGAAGAAGAGGAAAUGGGCGUGGAGAGUAUUUAACAAGUCUCUGACACACACAAAAAAUAAGGAUUUUACAACUGGUAAUUACAAUAAAUGUUAAAAUGUAAAUUAAUAUCCACAGGAUAUCAAGAAAUGUGAUGACCUAAUUCUAUUAGCCACUUUCUAAAGAAUUGAGAAAUUCAAUAAAUUCACACUUUGUUAUGAUCAGUAUUUGGUCAAAGACAAAUAGCACCAUCACAGAAUAAACUUAGAAAUUCACGAAUAAA
rnacentral:lncRNA from 1 species